AGGCGCGCGGCGCCCCACCUCCCCAGCGUCGACUGCCGGGCGGGCGGCGCGGGCCCUCCCACUCUUCGCCGCGCCGCCUCACGGCCCCGGCCCUCGCUUCACCCCGACGCCCCUGCGUGCGCCUCCUGCCGCCGGCCUGCAGGCCCGGGGCCUCCGCCUGCUUCCCCGCCGCUGCUCCUCGCGGCGCUGCUCUCGUUCACGCUGUCGCCCGGCCCGGCGCGGCCGCGGGCAACCGCUCCCCCUCCCGCACCUACCCCGCCCCCUCCCCGCCUUUUCCGCCCUCCAGUCCCCCUCCCUCGGCCCGCUGCCGCUGCUCCAGAUGAGGUGAUGGCAACGGCCAACUUCGGCAAGAUCCAAAUCGGGAUUUACGUGGAGAUCAAGCGGAGCGAUGGUGAGCCGCGCCGCUGGCCCCGCCGACCCGG
rnacentral:lncRNA from 1 species